rnacentral:rRNA from 1 species
AUGGCAUUGUCUCCUGCCCAAUCAUCACACAUUAAAUCAUAUGUGGGUGCCCCUUCACCCUUGAGCUAUAAAUCCAUGGUUAGUGACCACCAAACACCACCACUUCAUCCACAGACAAAGACAAAGGCCUUCCAACCUCCCACUAGCAGAAGAAUUUCUCCAGUUCCAGAAACACAAGAAACUACCAUGAUGAGUGCCAAGACACUAGCUCGGCUGGCCAAGAAGUGGCAGAGGGUGGCGGCUAUCAAGAGGAAGAGGCUCACCUGGUCGCCAUCAACAUCCAGAGAAGCCGGAGGGUCGUGUUCGACGGUGGCCGGCAAGGGCCACUGCGUCGUGUACACUGCCGAUGGUGCAAGGUUCGAGGUGCCCCUUGCGUUCCUCGGAACGACCGUCUUCAGCGAGCUCUUGAGGAUGUCCCAAGAGGAGUUCGGCUUCGCAGGCGUUGACGGUGGCAGAAUCACGCUGCCCUGCGAUGCAUCGGUGAUGGAGUAUGCCAUGUGCUUGCUCAGGAGAAGCGCCUCCGCAGAGAUGGAGGCCGCGUUCCUCAACACCUUUGCGAUGCCAUGCCACUAUCAUGUGGCGCAACAUCUGGGAGUUGGCCAGCAUUUCGGUGUCUGCAGCUCCUGA